CAAUGCCUGUCACUGGUCAAUUCCAUCAGCUCAUGUGCUGGCACCCACAGGGGACAGAGAGCAAAUAGCACUUGACAGUGGAUAAGACCUGCCACCUUCAAACCACCCCAUAACUUCUGUUGCACCAGCGAAGGUUAUUGGUCCUUGUGAUUCAAUGAAAAUAAGAACACAGCAAAACUAAGACUAGAAGAAAAAAAUUCAUCCUGAAUCACUCACACUUUCUGGGAGUCUAAUGGAGGAACAGAGGAGGACUGAGAUGUGCACAAUGUGUUCUGAAGAAACAUUUUCCUUUAGUUCACCCACCUCACUCCCAGAAACUUCGGCUGCUCUCCAGGUGCAGAAGUCUCUGUCUCCAUCUUCAAACUGUCGAUAUGUGCAAUGGAGAUCACAGUAGCAGCCACAUACCAAGGGAGGCCCAUGAAGGAGCACACCACCAUGAUGACGGCCACCCAGAAGAGAUCCAAGUGAUAUCCAGCUCCUUUCUGUGGAGAGAGCUAAUGUAACCUUCUGGAGAAAACACUCAGAUCUGCUAGCCAGUUUUAUGCCUUGAUGGGAUUUAAGAUUACCAAAAGAAAAUAACUCAUUUCUUGGUAAAAGUAUUAGAGGGUCCUAGGGGAAAGGAACUUCAUUUUCCUCAUUCUGUUCCCCCAGCAAUUAAACACACAGCCACCUCUUACAGUUAUAAUAACACACACCUCCUCCACUAUCAUGGCUGUGAAUAACUGUUAGAUUUAAGCACUGCUUCACUUAGUAUGUAUUUACUGUUAAUUAACUUCUCUGCAUCCAAUUCUGUAAGCAAAAAUGUAGAGAUAUGUGCCUAUUUUGAAAAUUUAUUGGACUGUUCAUUGAAGUAACACAGGCAAAGUAUCUUGUAGUAACAAGAAUGGUGCCAGUAGUAGUUGUUACACAGCAGCAGCUCACUAAAUAAAGGCAGCAGCAGCAGUACUGCAGGGUGUGAUGACAAGGGUGAGGGGCGGGCACUCUACUCUGCAUUCUCCACUGGGGAGCGUUUAGGAUGAAUGAGUACAUGAAGUUGGUGCUGAGUACAUACAUGUAGACUAAAGAUCCCCAAAUAACCCUGAUAUGGUAUGAAGACCAUUCUUACCUUUCACAGACUAGGACAAUAAUUGCUAAAAGCCACUUACUCAUAAUCAUUAAGGUAAUUAAUAGCCCCUUAGAGAGGUUGACUUCAGUCACUGUCCAACAGCCACAUAACAUUUACUGACCACAAGAGCAGACAAUAUAACACAAGGUCUAGUUCUUCUACUCACUAGAUAAAUAUCGUUAAAUGUCUCCAUGGUGUUAUUCUAUGGCUGUAUUUCUCUGCUCUGUUUGUGAAGAAGUCAAAUGCUUGAUUCCCCUCUGGAGCUUAAGGGAACAGAGCAGUCCACGCUCACUGCAUGCAAGCACACCCUGAGGUCAGAGUGUGACCCUUCCAAGGAAUGGAGAGGCCGCUCUCCACGGGAAGCUGUGAUUUACACCAGGAACCCGUGUCUGUUAUCAUUCAGAUCCUGUGACACUUUGUGAGAACACUGCUCUCCCCUUACUGAAAUGCCAAGAGAUUCUACCCCUGUUUGCACACCUGGGUGUAAUCAUUUUUCAGAGAGCACAUAGCAGGUAAGGGGCACUGGACAAGGAAGAAAGGCUUGUGCUCAUUUGGUCCAGGAUUGGCUGAGAAUAAAAAUCUGCUCAUGGGAUAAAGAGGUUAAUAUACAAUGUAAGAAACAAAAUCAGGAAGUAAGGAAUAGAGUAAGGUGGAGGAAAGGAAAGCCAAUGUGGGAUGAUCUGAAAUAAACACAUUCAAUAAUGAUUAAGGUGGUGAAUAUCACGCUAUAUCGGGGAUCUCAGGCAUUCAUUCUUUCCACAAAUAUUGACUCUCAACUUAGUACCAGGCAUGGUUCUAGCUGCUGGUAACAUAUCUGCAAAUAAAA